rnacentral:rRNA from 1 species
AGAGUUUGAUCCUGGCUCAGAAUCAACGCUGGCGGCGNNCCUAACACAUGCAAGUCGAGCGAGAAAGUGUAGCAAUACAUGAGUACAGCGGCGCACGGGUGAGUAACACGUGGAUAACCUGCCUCGAAGUGGGGAAUAACCCCGGGAAACCGGAGCUAAUACCGCAUAAUCUGACGAGAUCUGUGGAUUUUGUCAGCAAAGGAGCAAUUCGCUUUGAGAGGGGUCCGCGGCUGAUUAGCUAGUUGGUGAGGUAAUGGCUCACCAAGGCCACGAUCAGUAGCCGGUCUGAGAGGACGGUCGGCCACACUGGAACUGAGACACGGUCCAGACUCCUACGGGAGGCAGCAGUGGGGAAUUUUUCGCAAUGGGGGCAACCCUGACGAAGCAACGCCGCGUGGGUGAUGAAGUAUUUCGGUACGUAAAACCCUUUCGACGGGGACGAAACCGCAAGGUUGACGGUACCCGUAGAAGAAGCCCCGGCUAACUCCGUGCCAGCAGCCGCGGUAAUACGGGGGGGGCAAGCGUUGUUCGGAAUUACUGGGCGUAAAGGGCGCGUAGGCGGUUCGCUAAGUUGGAUGUGAAAACUCUGGGCUUAACCCAGAGCCUGCAUCCAAAACUGGCAAACUUGAGUACUGGAGGGGAAAGCGGAAUUCCUGGUGUAGCGGUGAAAUGCGUAGAUAUCAGGAGGAACACCGGUGGCGAAGGCGGCUUUCUGGACAGUAACUGNNNCUGAGGCGCGAAAGCUAGGGGAGCAAACAGGAUUAGAUACCCUAGUAGUCC